GUACAAAUGAUGAGAACUUUAAUAUACCUGAAUCACUUUGAUGCCUUCAAAGGAACCACUGAUGUAC
ensembl:snoRNA SNORD42 Small nucleolar RNA SNORD42